CACGCCGUAAACGAUGGGUGCUAGGUGUCACGGGUAUUGACCCCUGUGGUGCCGCAGCUAACGCAUUAAGCACCCCGCCUGGGAAGUACGGCCGCAAGGCUAAAACUCAAAGGAAUUGACGGGGGCCCGCACAAGCGGUGGAGCAUGUGGUUUAAUUCGACGCAACGCGAAGAACCUUACCUGGGCUAGAAAUGACAAGAAUCCUGCGGAAACGUGGGAGUGCUCGCAAGAGAGCUUGUUGUUAGGUGC
rnacentral:rRNA from 1 species